AUACGUAGGUGGCAAGCGGUUGUCCGGAUUUAUUGGGCGUUAAAGCGAGCGCAGGCGGUUUUUUAAGUCUGAUGUGAAAGCCUUCGGCUUAACCGGAGAAGUGCAUCGGAAACUGGGAGACUUGAGUGCAGAAGAGGACAGUGGAACUCCAUGUGUAGCGGUGGAAUGCGUAGAUAUAUGGAAGAACACCAGUGGCGAAGGCGGCUGUCUAGUCUGUAACUGACGCUGAGGCUCGAAAGCAUGGGGUAG
rnacentral:rRNA from 1 species